AUCCUCCAUGACUGUGUCCCUCUAAACUCUGAGGUCAUUUAUUUGUGAAGGUGGACGAAGCUGAGGUUUAGUCAAAUGAUUUAGCAACACCCACAUGCAAAUGAAGUAGGAAAACUGAGUGAUAAAGGAGAGCAGGCAACCCUCACCGAAGAGCUGUCAGCACACGAAGGGUUACUGCUUUGUAGCAACCCAGGUUGUUGUGGACAAUGAAAAUGAUCUGUCUGGGGUUCUUCUUUUUGGCAGCUUUCUCAGGAGUCAGGUCCCAGAUCCAGCUGACCCAGACUGGGGCAGAAAUCAAGAAGCCUGGAGAGUCUGUGAAGGUGACAUGUAAAACCUCCGGCUACACCUUUACCAGCUAUUACAUGCACUGGGUGCGGCAGGCUUCCGGGAAAGGACUAGAGUGGAUCGGAUACAUUGAUCCCAGCGACGGUGAAACUCGCUAUGCCCAGGCCUUCCAGGGGCGAUUCACCAUCACCAGGGACACCUCCAUAAGCACGGCCUAUCUGCAGCUGGGCAGCCUGAGAGCCGAGGACACGGCCACGUAUUACUGUGCUAGGGACACAGUGACACAAACCACAGCUACAGCCAUUCAAAAACCCCCAUUGAGAGAACCCAGGUCUCCCGAGAACACUGGAGCCUUUAGUCACCCCGGAGAGCGUUUGCCCAUGUAA